CUUUAGUGUUGUUAUUAUAUAGCAGUAAUUUACUAAUUUCAGACAGAAACAAUGUAGAUGGGGUGGCUAUACAACAUGUUGUGACUCGUGUUGUCAGUAUGACUGCUGCGGUGAAACCUAUAGCGACAGUAGCUGUAAUAACAGUUCAGUGACCUUGAUACUGAUUCUCUGCACGGUUCUUAUGUUUAUUCUCGUUUUGGUGGUGUGUAUAUUCCGCUGCUAUAUGUGCGCGCAGCGGCUGAAUGACUUGUCUCAACCGGAAGUAGUAUCGGUCCGCAGAACAAUUAGAGUGCGAGUAGGCGUCAACCAGCAAAGUACGUCUUCGUCAGCGCCGAGAGUUAAAGACGAGUAUGACCCGCCUCCAUCGUACGGUAGUGUUAUUCGGAGCCAGUACUAAUACAAACUCAUCUUGCAAUAAAACUGCACCUACCGGCGAAUAUUUUUAAUUGUUGCUAAAUUUUCAGAUAUGCAGAAAGUUUUUGAGACUUUGGAAAUGCGAGAUUUUCCAAACAAAAUAUUGUUUACAAAUUUUAAAAUUUACAACUACUGAGACUUUAUAGGACAAGCUGAAAAAUAUAAAUAGGGUGAUUAUAAUAGCAGCUCGGUCUGGGAUGUUGUAUUCGGCUCUAGUGGAUUUUUGCCAGAUCGGAUAUCACGACCUUGCAAAUUCCACGCGAGCCAAAUACACAAAAUCCCAGAUCUAGCUACUGUUAGUGAUGAUGUUUUACAGAUGGCUAUGUUGAAGCAAAACUAAAAAAAUAUGAUAGUUUUAACAGCCAAAGGGUAGAUGAGCUCGAUAAAUAUUUUAAUACGGAAGAAGUUGAACGAGUAUUUCAUCGCUUAAUUAAAAGGGAUAAAAGUGGUGCAAAUGAUUGACUCACACCUGAAAUAUUUUAAGAAUGUAAACAAUUAUUGACACCCGUUCUUUGCGAACUUGUUAACUUUAAGUAUUUUAUCCGCUAAGCUGGACACAUUGAAUCAUUGUACCUGUACCAAAAAAAGGGUGACCUUAAAAUGUUAAUAACUACAGGGGUAUUACUCUCACUAGUACAUUUUUCAAAAAUAUUUUCAAUUUUGUUAGAUAACAGGCUACGCAAGUGGGUGAAAAAUAAUGACCUUUUAUCAGAUGUUCAAUUUGGAU